AUCCACCUGACGAGUCCAAAAUAGGACGAAACGCGCGUCCUGGAU
rnacentral:hammerhead_ribozyme from 1 species